rnacentral:tRNA from 1 species
CACUAGGAAGCUUGCUAAGCACUAGCCUUUUAAGCUAAAGAAGAGACCUUAAGACUCCCCAGUGA